UAAAAAUCAUCAUCCUGUGUUGACGGGCAUCAUUCUUGAUUGAUCUAACUAAGACGAAAGUUUAGUCUGAAGCGCUGUUCAUCAUGUGGUCACAACUCACCUUUCGUCUUUUGCUAAUAGUAGCCCUAACGUCUGUUACAUCAGCCUUCUUUAUUCGUCGUCCAUUUAUUCCACAUAUGUUUCCAUUCGCACGAUUUCCAAUUGUUCGUCCUAUAUUGCCACAUGUUGGAUUUCCACCCAUCGGUUAUAACAACAUGUUUAACGUACCAUUCGGUGGAGUUGUUCCAGGUCUUGCGGGCUCCGCCACACCUGACGUAAAUGCACACACCUCUGUAAAACAGGUUCCAGGUGGUGUUUCAAUAACAAAUACCAACCCUAAUUCAUAUGUCAGCGUUGUUACUGAUAUGGCACAUGGCGGGCAGAAUGGCAACGCCGGUUCGGUAACGGGAACCGUAGUGGGUAGCGUUGUAGAUAUGUAUGGUGCGAAAAUAGGAGAUGUUAUAGAUGUAACCGGUAAAGGCUUAAUAGCUCUUAAUGCCAGUGACAGGACAAUACUAGGAAAUAUUGAAAACAAGGGUGUUGAAGGUCUAUGUGUUAUUGACCAGAUGGGUGAAAUUAUUGGCAAAGUUGAGUUACAUCCAGGUUACAAUCAAGUGUAAGGAAUACUUACUGGUACAGUACAAACUACUAAACAGAAACAGGACCAGUGCUUGUUACGUUCCUGAUCUCACUACAAAAAAUACAUGUACAUAUAAAAUGAUAAAUUAUUGUUAAAGGGGGUUUAAUGUGGCUUCAGAAUAACAUUUGGAUUAUAGGCCGUGGACAGACUUCAAAUUCAUAAUGAAUAAGAUCAAUCGAUGAAGAAUGGCCGAUAUACAGUAACUUAAUGUAUGAUGAAACUGUAAUAAAACAUUAUUUUAUAAUAA